UACCAGCACCCCGAGUGGUCGGGACGAUUAUUGGGCCUAAAGCAUCCGUAGCCGGUUCUGCAAGUCCCCCGUUAAAUCCAGCUGCUCAACAGAUGGGCCGCGGAGGAUACUAUAGAGCUAGGAGGCGGGAGAGGCAAGCGGUACUUAGUGGGUAGGGGUAAAAUCCGUUGAUCCAUUGAAGACCACCAGUGGCGAAAGCGGCUUGCCAGAACGCACUCGACGGUGAGGGAUGAAAGCUGGGGGAGCAAACCGG
rnacentral:rRNA from 1 species